rnacentral:rRNA from 1 species
UACGUAGGGUGCGAGCGUUAAUCGGAAUUACUGGGCGUAAAGCGUGCGCAGGCGGUUCGUUAAGUUCGAUGUGAAAGCCCCGGGCUCAACCUGGGAACUGCAUUGGAAACUGACGAGCUCGAGUACUGGAGGGGAAAGCGGAAUUCCUGGUGUAGCGGUGAAAUGCGUAGAUAUCAGGAGGAACACCGGUGGCGAAGGCGGCUUUCUGGACAGUAACUGACGCUGAUGCGCGAAAGCUAGGGGAGCAAACAGG